ACUUUUGGGAAACCCCUUUGGGUCCCCUCCCAUUGUAUGCGAGCUCUGUUUUCACUUAUUAAAUCUUGCAGCUGCACACUUUUCUGGUCCGUGUUUGUUCCUGCUCGAGCUGAGCUUUCACUCACUGUCCACCACUGCUGUUUGCCGCCGUCGCAUACCCGCCAUUGACUUCCACCCCUCCGGAUCUGGCAGGGUGUCUGCUGCAUUUCUGAUCCAGCGAGGCACCCAUUGCCGCUUCCGUUUGGGCUAGAGGCUUGCCAUUGUUCCUGCACGGCUAAGUGCAGGAAUUUGUCCUAAUCAAGCUGAACACUAGUCACUGGGUUCCACGGUUCUCUUCUGUGACCCACGGCUUCUAAUAGAGCUAUAACAUUAACCGCAUGGACCAAGGUUCCAUUCCUUGGAUUCCGUGAGGCCAAGAACCCCAGAUCAGAGAACAAAAGGCUUGCUUCCAUCUUGGGAGUGGCCGCCACCAUCUUGUGAGCUCUAAGAACAAAGACCCACCUGUAACAUUUGGUGGCAACCGUAUGGUGAUUCUCCAAAGCGGAUACAGUGAGAAGGUGGCCAUCCGUAAGCCAGGAGGAGGGUCUUCACCAGUAGCCAAAAUAGGCAGCAUCUUGAUCUUGGACUUCCCAGUAUACAGAACUAUUUACAUUGAUCAUCCACUAUGUUCCAGAUACUACAUGAUACUAACAAGACAACAGGAGAAGUGAUAUCAAAAGACAACGACUACACCAAAAUUUGGAGAAAAAGGUGAAUCCAGACAGUCACAGGUGAGAUCUGCCGACCUGGAGCAGAGCUGCUAGAUCCAUAAGCUGGGACGUGGAUGAAGCUGGAGGCAUUAUCCUUGGCAAACUUACACAGGAGCAGAAAACCAAAUACCACAUGUUCUCACCUGUAAGUGGGAGCUAAAUUAUGAGAACAUGUAGACACAUAGAGAGGAACAACACACACUGGGGCCUAUUGGAACGUGGAGGGUGGGAGGAGGGAGAGGAUCAAGAAAAACAUUUAGUGGGUACUAGACUUAAUACCUGGAUGAUGAAAUAAUCUGUACAACAAACCUCCAUGACACCCAUUUACCUGUGUAACAAACCUGCACAUGUAUUCCUGAACUUGAAAUAAAAGUUUUUUUAAGUGUAACUUACCAUUUUAAAAAAUAGUAUUUUUAA
rnacentral:lncRNA from 10 species